UACGUAGGGGGCUAGCGUUGUCCGGAAUCAUUGGGCGUAAAGAGCGUGUAGGCGGUCCGGUAAGUCCGCUGUGAAAGUCGGGGGCUCAACCCUCGAAUGCCGGUGGAUACUGUCGGGCUAGAGUCCGGAAGAGGCGAGUGGAAUUCCUGGUGUAGCGGUGGAAUGCGCAGAUAUCAGGAGGAACACCGAUUGCGAAGGCAGCUCGCUGGGACGGUACUGACGCUGAGGCGCGAAAGCGUGGGGAGCGAACAGG
rnacentral:rRNA from 1 species